rnacentral:rRNA from 1 species
UAGGAAAUCUUCCGCAAUGGGCGAAAGCCUGACGGAGCAACGCCGCGUGAGUGAUGAAGGUCUUCGGAUCGUAAAACUCUGUUAUUAGGGAAGAACAAAUGUGUAAGUAACUAUGCAGGUCUUGACGGUACUUAAUCAGAAAGCCACGGCUAACUACGUGCCAGCAGCCGCGGUAAUACGUAGGUGGCAAGCGUUAUCCGGAAUUAUUGGGCGUAAAGCGCGCGUAGGCGGUUUUUUAAGUCUGAUGUGAAAGCCCACGGCUCAACCGUGGAGGGUCAUUGGAAACUGGAAAACUUGAGUGCAGAAGAGGAAAGUGGAAUUCCAUGUGUAGCGGUGAAAUGCGCAGAGAUAUGGAGGAACACCAGUGGCGAAGGCGACUUUCUGGUCUGUAACUGACGCUGAUGUGCGAAAGCGUGGGGAUCAAACAGG